UGGGGAAUAUUGGACAAUGGAGGAAACUCUGAUCCAGCAAUUCUGUGUGUGUGAAGAAGGUUUUAGGACUGUAAAACACUUUUAGUAGGGAAGAAAAAAAUGACGGUACCUACAGAAGAAGCAACGGCUAAAUACGUGCCAGCAGCCGCGGUAAUACGUAUGUUGCGAGCGUUAUCCGGAAUUAUUGGGCGUAAAGCGCGCGCAGGUGGUUUAGAAAGUCUGAUGUGAAAGCCCACGGCUCAACCGUGGAGGGUCAUUGGAAACUAAUAAACUUGAGUGCAGGAGAGAAAAGUGGAAUUCCUAGUGUAGCGGUGAAAUGCGUAGAGAUUAGGAGGAACACCGGUGGCGAAAGCGGCUUUUUGGCCUGCAACUGACACUGAGGCGCGAAAGCGUGGGGAGUAAACAGG
rnacentral:rRNA from 1 species